rnacentral:rRNA from 1 species
GACGAACGCUGGCGGCGUGCUUAACACAUGCAAGUCGAGCGGAAAGGCCCUGCUUUUGUGGGGUUCUCGAGUGGCGAACGGGUGAGUAACACGUGAGUAACCUGCCCUUGACUUUGGGAUAACUUCAGGAAACUGGGGCUAAUACCGGAUAGGAGCUCCUGCUGCAUGGUGGUGGUUGGAAAGUUUCGGCGGUUGGGGAUGGACUCGCGGCUUAUCAGCUUGUUGGUGGGGUAGUGGCUUACCAAGGCUUUGACGGGUAGCCGGCCUGAGAGGGUGACCGGCCACAUUGGGACUGAGAUACGGACCAGACUCCUACGGGAGGCAGCAGUGGGGAAUAUGGCACAAUGGGCGGAAGCCUGAUGCAGCAACGCCGCGUGCGGGAUGACGGCCUUCGGGUUGUAAACCGCUUUCGCCUGUGACGAAGCGUGAGUGACGGUAAUGGGUAAAGAAGCACCGGCUAACUACGUG